AGAGGGUGCGAGCGUUAAUCGGAUUUACUGGGCGUAAAGCGUGCGUAGGCGGCUUCUUAAGUCGGAUGUGAAAUCCCUGAGCUUAACUUAGGAAUUGCAUUCGAUACUGGGAAGCUAGAGUAUGGGAGAGGAUGGUAGAAUUCCAGGUGUAGCGGUGAAAUGCGUAGAGAUCUGGAGGAAUACCGAUGGCGAAGGCAGCCAUCUGGCCUAAUACUGACGCUGAGGUACGAAAGCAUGGGGAGCAAACAGGAUUAGAUACCCUGGUAGUCCCAUGCCCGUAAACGAUGUCUACUAGCCCGUUGGGGCCUUUGAGGCUUUAGUGGCGCAGCUAACGCGAUAAGUAGACCGCCUGGGGAGUACGGUCGCAAGACUA
rnacentral:rRNA from 1 species